rnacentral:rRNA from 1 species
UCCAGACUCCUACGGGAGGCAGCAGUGGGGAAUAUUGCACAAUGGGGGAAACCCUGAUGCAGCGACGCCGCGUGAGCGAUGAAGUAUUUCGGUAUGUAAAGCUCUAUCAGCAGGGAAGAAAAUGACGGUACCUGACUAAGAAGCCCCGGCUAACUACGUGCCAGCAGCCGCGGUAAUACGUAGGGGGCAAGCGUUAUCCGGAUUUACUGGGUGUAAAGGGAGCGCAGGCGGCGCGUUAAGCCUGGUGUGAAAGCCCGCGGCCCAACCGCGGGACUGCAUUGGGAACUGGCGCGCUGGAGUGCCGGAGGGGUAGGCGGAAUUCCUGGUGUAGCGGUGAAAUGCGUAGAUAUCAGGAGGAACACCGGCGGCGAAGGCGGCCUGCUGGACCGCGACUGACGUUGAGGCUCGAAGGCGUGGGGAGCGAACAGGAUUAGAUACCCCAGUA